UCUUGGCAACUCUUGACACCAAAUCCACACACUUCACUCUUUCCUCCUUCCUCAAAUCAAUUCCCUUUCUUGUCAAUACACUCUCAUUCAAAUUUGCUUUUCUCUCUUCCGUUCUACUCGUUCUCUUCACCCACCGCCCUAAUUAUCACUCUACAAAUUACAAUUUCCUUAUUCACAAAUCCUUCAAAUUUGAUUCCCUCAAUUUCAUGUCCGGGUUGUAUAACGAUAUGAUUUCUUCUUGUGUUUCCCUUGUUACUUAUACAUUCAUUCUUCUCAAUUAUGGGUUGUGUCAUUCCGAGUUGUCCGCCAACUGUUUGGUGCUAUGCCUGAAAAAGGGUGUUACCCCAAUGCCUGAUGGGUUGUGUGAUCUUCUUGAGAAGAUUUUAGGAUGCUUGCCCUUGCGCGACGCUAUAAGGACAAGUGUUAGUGUGUUCAGAAUUAGUGUUUGACGCUAACAUUGACAAGCAACUCUUGAAAACUAUAAUUUACCAUAUUUUGUUAAUCCAUCAGGGACCACUACAGAAAUUUACCCUCGUGGUCUCUAACUCCGAGUCCAAGCUUUCUCCUUAUAUUGAUCACUGGAUUCUGUUUCUGUCGAAGAAAAAGGUCCACAAAUUCUCUCUUAAAAGCAUGAACCUUUGUCUUCCUUCUCACCUAUUCAAAUUUCAACAUCUAAGGCUCCCGGAGCUUUUUUGUUGUAAAUUUCAACAUUUAGUUGCUUGUUACCCUAGACUUUCCGCCUUCGAGCCUGCUUCUUUUCAAACCCUCCUUUGUAGUAUCCUAUUAUUUGAACGUGUAAGGUUAAUUUGCCGCAUUCCAUUUGAUAGCUUCAUUGUUCAUGCCCCUAGUCUCAAAGGCCGAGAAGCAAAAUCCAUUCGCUUAAAUAGGUUGAUUUUCUACGGCUUCUUCUGACAAUUAAUCAUUCUUCAUAACCUGAGUGUUAUACCUCCAAGGAUUUUGAUCCUGUGGACUCUGUUGUCUUACAUCUCUUACAAUCCCAACGGGUGCCACUGAAGCAGCUCAAAAAGAUUGACAUGUAGUGCAUGGUUCUCAAGUAUGUAUUGUCGUCUGCAACUGCGCUCAAGAAAAUAUUCGUUGGGACUUAUGAACGCUGCAAUCAUCGGGGAAUGAAAAUGAUGGAGGAGAUGAAGCAGAUACUUUCAACAUUCAAUUUACAACUCUAGUGUGAUGUGCUUUCGCAUAGAAUAGAAAGUACAAACACUUUCGAUGAGGGGUGGGGUGAAAGGUCGUAUGCAGUCAUCAAGGAGUUUGGAACAGGGCAAAUAUAGUGCAAAUAUUGUGAAUUUUCACUGUUAUGUAGAGAUAUGUACAAACAGAAUCAUGUCAUGAACCCAUAAAGGCAAAAGCACUUGUUAAUCUAGUUUAUCGUGAUGCUUGAUUAAUAUUAUAUUCUUCUGUAGGAUUUAGGAUCUAAAGUGGAAAAGAUUAAUACAGGACGAAAAGAUUGUUAUGGCUACUGAGAUUUGAUCGCAAAAGUUUGUUAUUGUUUUCCUGGCAAAAAAGAAACAUGUGCUUCUUUGCAUGCUCAUGUCUCUAUGUUUACAACUCUCAAUUGAUAUCCUCCUACUUUCUCUAUUCCUAAACUGACACGCUUGUGUACUUCCAUAUUUGCUGAUCAUGUCAUAUUAUUACUUUUCUCUAUUUGGAAAAUCACAUAUAUAAAAGCUACUGAUAACUGAAUCAUUAUGUCCAUUAAUAUGAGUGGAAGAGCCCGGCUGCAGAUAGAAUUAGCAGUUUGCCUUGCGAUAUUCUUGAGAAGGUAUUAGGCAGCUUGCCUUUGCAUGAUGCUGUAAGGGCAAGUGUUGUAUCAAGACUAUGGAAGUACAACUGGCUAGGAUGUUCGGAAACAGUGUUUGACGAUCUCCUUGUCAAGCAGAUUGUUCGUUCGUUAAAAGGUAACUCCUUUGAUUGGUACACAAACUUGGAUCCUGAGUCAAUUGAUUGUUGGGAUCAAUUUGAAAGUCGGCUGCUCAAUCGUUUUUACAGCACUCAUCGUACAAUGAGCAUGAUGGAGUUAACAAACACCAAACAAAGUAAACAUGAGCUCGUUGGCCCUGGAGGAUGAUUUGGAAGACAAAAGCUCCAUUAAAGGUAGUAUGCUUUGGAUGGAUAGCAACUUCGAGAAGGCAUGUUUGACCCAAGAUAAUUUGUAGAAAAGAGGUUUUAGCCUAUGUAAUAGAUGCUAUCUAUAAACCCAGGAAACAGUGAAUGUGUUGGGAAAUGUUUUUAAGCAUGUGUGGCAUAUCCUGGGUGAUGCCACAGACUGUGAGGAGCUUGUUGGUAGAGUGGCAAUCCCUAAGGGCACCUAGAAAACUGAAGCAAAUAUGGAGGACCAUCCCAUUGUGCAUCCUUUGGACCGUAUGGCUGGAAAGGAACAAGGCUUUUUUUGAAGGGCAUAGAAAUCAUAUUUCUAGAAUUAAAAAUUAAGUGUAUUCACAACCUAUAUUAUUGGUGUAGGUGUAGUUCUCCAGUGAAUGUGCAUCAGUUUCUGGAUUUUCUAGAUUUUUUGGGAGGGAUGUAAGUCUUGUUUUUUGUUCCGGCAUGUUUCCUUUAACAUUAUGUACCAUCUUGGUACCUUAUUAAUAAAAUUUUACCUUAUCCAAAGCUCGUUGUGGACUACAUCAAUCGCUGGUGAAUGUUGAGCUUAGAUUGCAAGGAUCAACUCUAAGAAACUUUUGCAGAUGAGAUUUGUAUCCUAGGAAUACAUUGGGGUCUCGUGUAUAUCUUGCAAGGGCUUAAGCCUCACAUUUUUGAGCUAUACGCGCUCAUGACAUGGAGUGGAGUAUUGCAAGCCAUGGAAUGGCAUCACCUGUCUUUGAUCCAAGCUGUAAAGUUAUGACCAGUAAUCCAUUAUUACCGUUGCGUCUUUUGGGGGGUCGUUGUCGUUGGAAAAUUGGGUAAGCAAAUCUCAAGUUCAUUACGGAUGGCCUUGUCCGUGCAAAGUGUCUGCGAGUCUGAGGUCUUCUGUAAUCACCAUCUUGGCUGAUGGCUCAAUCAUAGCUGUGUACUCUGCUAUUGUGAACCUGCAUGGGAAGAAAGGAGAAAAGGACAAAAAAAAAAAAUACUACACGAGAGGGAUAUUAGAGAACUUCAUGCGGAUUAAGUUCCAGUAUCAGCUAUGGUGCUUGGCCUAGUUCGGCAGCAAGGCUCCUCCAUUGUCAUUGUAGACUGCUACAAUAAGAAUGUCGAUUGCGAAGACUCCAAGAAGAUGUUGUGGAGCACACCUUGCUUCACCUUGCAGCUUUACUGAUGUGAUAAUGCAAAAGAAAUUGAAGACAUGUUGAAGACUUCAUGUUGAGUUGUAACCCGUUGAAUGGGUUUGAGUCCUUUUUAUAGGCAUUGCACGAAGCAAAAGAUGAAUUCUAAUUGAAAACAAAGACAUCUCAGUAGUUAUCAUUUUAAGAUUUUGGUUGCGGUGUUCAAACUGAAAUAGGAUGGGAGAAAAUCUUGUUUCAAUGAAACACGAAAAUGGAUUAGUGGAAAAUGCAAGGAGAAAGGAACAUGGCCUUAUCUCAAGAGGAUCUUAUUUUCAUAUGGACGGAGAAAAGGUAUAGUAUUCGUUGAUACUUCAAGUCUUGAAUGAGGGCCAUCUGUAAACACUUAAAAAUUUAUUGGGGAUCCAUACUAAAUUUGGAUUAAAACUUAAAUUUAUUGGGGAUCCAUACUAAAUUUGGAUUAAAACUUAAAUUUAUUUGGGUUGAAUAAUUAAUUUGGACUUCACAAAUUAAAUAAGUCCAUUUUAUUAUUUUUAAGCUCAAGUUCCUUUAAUCUGAAGGCCCAAACUCAUGUCACGUAUUCAAUGAUAUGACCUUGCAGUCAAAUCCAAGGCCAACGAGACGAUUCCAUGUGUUUAAGUGAUGUGUCAUCUCUCAGUCAAAACAAGGACCAAUGAAAAGUCAUAAAGUGGCCAAAAUGAUACUGUCUUGGACGAUUACAUACAACUUUAUCACAUGGCUUUUGUGAUAAGUUUGAUGACGCUAAUGAGCCAAUAAAAAUCCUCCAAGAGAGUUCAUAAAUAUUUGGACUGUCUACCCUCUACAUCUAUAAAUAUGGAAACUACAUAACUCUUUGGGGAUCCAUUCAGAGACCACUGAAGAAAGCACUCCAUGGUGAAGGUAUCCGCAACCAGAAAAGUUCAACAUCAAGUACAUAUAGUUCUUCGAAGAAGUGGUCAACGGAGUUCUUCCUGAGAUCAAACCAAAACAACGAAGUGCUACCCCAUUUUUUCGGAGAUCAAGUACAUCUCCACACGGAGUAUUGUAAAAUAGUAACAGAAUGGUGGAUUUCCAUAUUCCACCUCAUCAUAUGAAUUACUCCAAUACUUUAUUUCUAUAACUCCCUUAAAUGUUAAUACUCUUGUUCAUGCAUCAUUUAAUAUUUUAAAUAUAAUCCUAUAAAUAGAGAUUUUGAGAAUCAUGUUGGAUGUAGUUUUCAAUCUUAUUCUCUUAUUUUAUUAUGAUCUCCUUCUAUUUUACAACGGCAAUUCAUUUCUCAAAAUCUCUCCCUUUUGUUUUUUCAUUAGAGAAGCAAGAAAUUAUAGAUAGUAAAAAUAUCAAUCUAUCUGUCAUGCAUGCUGCUAAGCAUUAAGCGAGGUGUUAAAACACCAAAAGUCACUCCAGCAAAAACUGAAACGAAGACACUUAAAAGUAGAGGCAACUUUCAAUCUCUCAAAGGACUCUGCUACAGAGUUGUCAUUGAAUAAAUAUGUCCAUUGAUAUGAGUAGUACGAGCCCUGCUGAAGAUAGAAUUAGCAGUUUGCCUUGUGAUAUUCUUGAGAAGAUUUAAGGAUGCUUGCCCUUGCGUGAUGCUAUAAGGACAAGUGUUUUGUCAAAACAAUGGAGUGACAAAUGGGUUGUACUUUCAGAAUUAGCUUUUGACAAAGCUAACGUUGAUAGAGGACUCUUGAAAACAAUUAUUUACCACGUUCUGCUGAUCCAUCUAAGACCACUACAGAAAUUUAGCCUCCUGAUCUCUAGCUCUGAACUUUUUCCUGAUAUUGAUCACUGGAUUCUGUUUCUGUUGAAGAAAAACGUCCAAGAAUUCUCACUUAGAUUUCUUAAAAGCAAGGACUUUCGUCUCCCUUAUCACCUACUCAAAUUUCAGGAUCUAAGGCAUCUGAAGAUUUGCAGAUGUAAAUUCUACCCUCCUCCCAACUUUAGAGCUUUUAGUACGCUUGCUACCCUUAACUUUUGGUUUGUGAAUUUCGAGCCCACGUCACUUCAGACCCUCCUUUCAAAUAGCCCGUUACUUGAACGUGUGACUGUGAUUUUCUGCACUCCAUUUGAUAGCUUCAUUGUUCAUGCCCCUAGUCUCAAAUUCUUUGAAUUUAGUUGAAGAGCAAAUUCCAUUUGCUUCAUGAAAACCCCUCUGCUUGAGGAAAUUGUAUUGGGCCUGCUUUUUAAGAAGUCCUUUGCAGUACCAGAGUCUCAACUGACACUACACAACAUCAAAAUUUUAAAGUUUAAGAGAUCGAUCCUUGAUAAAGUUGAGUGGGUUGCAUAUGCUCUUUACUUGAUCAACCGCUGCCCCAACUUAGAAAGGCUCCAAAUUACGAUAUGUCUCACUUUCAUCUUUUAAUUGUAAAUAGUUGAUUUACUGCGUCUUCUUCUGACAUUUAAUCAUAACCCAUCUUUUCUUACUUUCUCAAGUCUUAUGGCCUUGACGAUCCUGUGGAGCCUGUGAUACAUAUCUUGCGAUCCCAAGAAAUGCCACAUAGUCCACAAGCAGCUCAAAAGUGUGGAUAUGAUCCUCAUGCAGGGUAAUAAAGCUGAAAUGGAAUUCUUGAAGUAUUUAUUGUCAUCUGCAAGUGCACUCGAGAAAGUAUGUGUUGUGACUCGUGAAAGAUUGAGUCAUAGGCGAAUGGCAAUGAUGGAGGAGAUGAAGCAAUUCCCUCGAGCAUCACCCAAUGUAGAAUUUCUAUACAAAGAAAGUGGAUUUUCCGUUAAGAAAUUAGAAUGAUAUGAACAUAAAUACCAGGUUUUUGUCUAUGGUAGUAUUCUAACAUGUGACUUAACCAUACAUCAAGCCCUGUGCUCUUAUCACUGGACCAAAUCCUUGAGGGCAAAAUUCCCCAGUUUUAUUGGAACCUUUUUUUCUUCCAAAAAAAGGAAAAAUUUAUUAGAUAUGGGGUAGGGGAAGGGGAAAUGGGGGAGGGGAUUACAACAUGGGAACCUAUUUCUGCUUACCGAUGUAUUAAUUUUUUGUGGUUUCCUUUGCUGUAUAUUCAGAAAACAACCACAACCACAAAAACUUGUUUUUGCCUUCUUGCUCUAACAAUUUUUAGGUUUACAAGGGUGGCCAUUCUUAUUUUCUCUAAUGCUUGUAUUGAUGCAUUAUGUGCUUAUUUUACCUAAGGUCAACUUGUU